rnacentral:tRNA from 1 species
ACCCUCUAAGGGUCGGCGGGCGUAAUCCUCCGAAGGCAAAGGUCACACGUUCGAAUCGUGUCGGGUGCGCCA